rnacentral:lncRNA from 1 species
CAUUAACACAAUGACUACUGAGGAACAUGUUAUUUAAUUUCCAUGUAAUUAUAAAGUUUUCAAAGUUCUCCUAUUAUUGACUUCUAAUUUUAUGCCAUUGUGAUUUGGGAAGACACUUGAUAUGAUUUCUGUCUUCUUAAUAUUUGUUAAGACUUGUUUUAUGGCCUAACAAGGAUUGAUCCUGGAGACUGUUUCAUGGACAGUUAAGAAUGUUUAUUCUGUGGCUGCUGGACAGAAUAUUCUAUAAAUGUCUGUAAGAUAUUUUGGGCCUAGGUAUAGUUUAAGUCCCAUGUAUCCUUAACUUUCUGUCUGGAUAAUCUGUCUGCUGGUGAAUAUUUGGUGUUAAAUCCACUAGUAUUACAGGUUGAACAUCUCAAAUUCAAAAAUCUCAAAUCUGAAUUGCUCCAAAAUCUGAAACUUUUUGAGCACCAACACGACACCCUAAGAAAAUGCUCAUUGGAUCAUUUAAGUCUUUUAAUUUUCCUAUUUGAGAUGUUUAAAGAGUAUAAUGAAAAUAUGUUAAAAUAUGAAAAACCCAAAAUCUCAAAUAUCUGGUCUCAAGCAUUUCAGACUAAGGGAUAUUCAACCUGUAUUUUAUCACAGUCUCUGUCUUCAGAUCUAUUAAUAGCAGACUCCAAAAUUCUUGUUCUUCUUGAAAAGAGGUUCAAUGAUUUACUAUAAUCCACUAAGAAACAUCUUUAGAAUUUCACAGGGAGCAGCAUCUGGAGGCACAGGUUUCCCGCAAUGCUUUGAAUAUUCAGUUAUCAAGACUGAAGCUUCAUCUAAACUUAAGUCCUCUGCUAAAUAGUGUACUAGUUCAGUGAUAUUGUUGGUAUUCAUCAUGUGCAUCUUCAACAUUUGAAAGUAUUUGGUCUUUGCCAAAA